rnacentral:lncRNA from 1 species
AUAGUCUGGUUUCUGGGACCUAAGUAAGAUGGACUAAGGUGGAUUCUGGUUGUGGUUGUUUUUUUAGGAAACUUCCCAGGAGGCAAUCGAAAUCAGAUAUCCCCUGGAGCAGCAAGUACUCGACAAAGCCAGAGAGGAACGUGUCCGCAGACCGGUCGAGUACAUCAUCGAGGAUGAUUCUUCUGCCUUAAAUGAGAGAAAGAUUGAAGAUGCCCGUGCAUACGACGAGCAGUACCUGAGAAGACCUGAGGAAGAGAGAGCUGUUCACUACCGGGAACUUCGCGCUUUUCCUACUGAGGCAAGAAAACUUAAGGCUUACAGAGAACCCUACGUGCAGCCAGAAAUCUACUACUAUCUCAUUUCCGUGCCACAACCCAUGCCUUAUCCAGAUGAGGUCCCUCUUGCUUACACCUACAAAUUCGUAGUACCUGCUGUCAACAGGGCAGAUGAGGCAGUCAAUACCCCUGUGGAAGAGGAGAAGAACUAAAAGGAGCUUUCCAGAUCCCCCUCUCUCCUGAUCCCUGUUCUGGCUGAAAAUUCCAACCUCUUUAUGGGCUCGGUCUUCUGUUGGUGUCUAGGAAUAGCCUCAUGCAAUGCAGGAGAUUUGACACUCAUUACUGAUUGAACAAAUAAAAACAAAGCAAAACUCAGGAGAGUGUUCUCUUCCUCCAAUGGGUAUUACCUGACAUUAUUUCUCUUAAUCAAAAGUUGAUUUCUCAACUCGCUUUCCUGUCUCCCACUUUCAGCCCUGACAAGCCAGGUGUAGGCAUUCUAGCAUCGACACAUUAUUUA